UCCCUGAUGGUCCAGUGGUUAGGACUCAGCACUUCCAAUGCAGAGGGUGCAGGUUCAAUCCCUAGUCAGGGAA
rnacentral:tRNA from 1 species